ACUCCUACGGGAGGCAGCAGUGGGGAAUAUUGCACAAUGGGCGCAAGCCUGAUGCAGCCAUGCCGCGUGUAUGAAGAAGGCCUUCGGGUUGUAAAGUACUUUCAGCGGGGAGGAAGCCGAUAAGGUUAAUAACCUUGUUGAUUGACGUUACCCGCAGAAGAAGCACCGGCUAACUCCGUGCCAGCAGCCGCGGUAAUACGGAGGGUGCAAGCGUUAAUCGGAAUUACUGGGCGUAAAGCGCACGCAGGCGGUCUGUCAAGUCGGAUGUGAAAUCCCCGGGCUCAACCUGGGAACUGCAUUCGAAACUGGCAGGCUAGAGUCUUGUAGAGGGGGGUAGAAUUCCAGGUGUAGCGGUGAAAUGCGUAGAGAUCUGGAGGAAUACCGGUGGCGAAGGCGGCCCCCUGGACAAAGACUGACGCUCAGGUGCGAAAGCGUGGGGAGCAAACAGGAUUAGAAACCCCUGUAGUCCCAUGAU
rnacentral:rRNA from 1 species